rnacentral:lncRNA from 1 species
GACCCGGUGAAGAGGGCAGGGAGCUGGGGCAGCCUGCUGUGCGGAGCUGGGGGAGGAGGAGGGAGCCCUGGGGGACAGACAGAAGGACCAUCGAAGGAGAAACCCUGCUGGCCUCGGGACCUGGAGGAAAGAACCAGGGCCCGUGCUCCUUGGGCCAGGAUCCGGCGAUUGGACGGAACCUCUCGGAUUCCCCAGUGCUGUGAAAUCCACUUGGGGCCAUCACACCCUUCAUUGCUGUGCUCCCUGGCAGAACUCGAAUGCAGCGUGAGCUGGGCACUUUUCCCAGGGUUUGCUCUAGGUCUGGGUCUCCCAUCAGCUCCCCCGGAGCAGAGCCUGAGGCAAGGAUUCUUGUUCGGGGGCAUCUUCCUCUCAGCACCGUGCUUUGGGAAUCGAGUGAUGGUGCUGAGUGAACCCCUGAGUGAACAUCUGUGGCUUCCUCCCACCUCGUCUCUGGAUGCACUCCUGUUCGAAUGGUACCUGAUCUUCUUCUGUGUGAGAAUUUUCUCUGGGCACAGUCUGUCCAGGAGGGGACACGAGUACCCCUAAUUUCACUAAGUGUGGCUGAAUUAUCUUCCAGGGUGUCUGUACAUGCUUGUCCCCUCCCCACGGUGGCGUGCUCAAUGGUGGCUCCCCACAGAUAUGUCCGUGUCCUAAUUCCCGGAGCCUUUGGGUCUCAUGUAGCCAAUGAUGUGAAAAAGUGAAGGAUGCUGAGAGGAGAUCAUCCAGAUGUCUUAGAGGAUAAAAAUGAGCGGGCAGAUGAAGAGAUACUCAGGGUGAGGUUUGGAAGGUGCACCAGGCCCACCCCAUGGAUGUGGCUCAGAGAGCCUGGGAAACGUGAGGUCUGUGACCUGGAUCAGGCCCAGAGAGACCUGAGCAGGAGGCGUGUGAAGCCCCUGCGCCUGUGCGAGGAGGGAAGCUGUUUCAGGGAAUUUGCCUUUCUUUCCCUGUAGUUUCAGACUAGCUGAUAAAUUACCUAAAAUGUUACCACAAGAUGCACAAUGUAACCAUCACUCAUUAUCUUCAUGUUCCUGGAAUUUUUUUUUUUUUUUUGAGAUAGAGUGUAGCCUCAUGGCAGCCUCAACCUCCUGGGCUCAAGUUGUCAGAGGCGUGUGAACCAGAGCAACUCCAUCUUGAAUGGGGCUGCGUAAAAUGAAGCUGAGACCUGUGGGGCUGCAUUCCCAGACCGCUGUGGCAUUCUGAGUCACAGGGUGAGACAGGAGGUCAGCACAAGAUACAGGUCAUAAAGACCUUGCUGAUAAAACAGGUUGCAGCAAAGGAGCCGUCCAAAUCCCACCAAAACCAAGAUGGUGACAAGAGUGACCUCUGGCCGUCCUCACUGCCACACUCCCACCAGCCGUGACAGUUUACAGAUGCCAUGGCAACCUCAGGAAGUCACCAUAUAUGGUCUAAAAAGGGGAGGUAUGAAUAAUCCACCCCUUGUUUAGCAUAUCAUCAAGAAAUAACCACAAAAACGGAGAACCAGCAGUCCUCGGGGCUGCUUUGUCUAUGGAGUAGCCAUUCUUUUUUUUUUUUUCGAGAUGGAGUCUCGCUCUGUUGCCUGGGCUGGAGUGCGGUGGCAUGAUCUUGGCUCACUGCAACCUCUGCCUCCUGGGUUUAAGUGAUUCUCCUGCCUCAGCCGAGCUGAGUAGCUGGGCUUACAGGCACCCACCACCAUGCCCGGCUAAUUUUUUGUAUUUUUAGUAAAGCCAGGGUUUCAUUAUACUAGCCAGGCUGGUCUCGAACUCCUGACCUCAUGACCUGCCUGCCUCAGCUUCCCAAAGUACUGGGAUUACCGGUGUGAACCACCGUGCCCAGCCAGAGUAGCCAUUCUUUACUCCUUUACUUUCCUAAUAAACUUCCUUUCACUUUACUCUGUGAACUUGCCCUGAAUUCUUUCUUGUGAGAGAUCCAAGAACCCUCUCUUGGGGUCUGGAUUGGCACCCCUUUCCUGUAACAAAGCCAUUCUCCCACCUUAGCCUCCCAAAUAGCUAAGACCACGGGUGUGUGCCACCGUGCCUGGCUAAUUUUUAAUUUUUUUUUU